GUAACACCUGAGGAUUCUUUAACAAAAUGACAAAAAAAAAAGUCUUGAAAAUGGGAAGGAAGUAUCAGCUUUCCAUAAAAUGUCAGCGAGAUCUUUUUGACAAAAUUGCCAAGCCCAUUUUGCUGUAUGGGUGCGAAGUAUGUCAUGUAUGGAUACUAUCUUAAGAUCAUAAACGAACUUCAGUCAAAGUUUUGUACAAAUCCAGGAUAGUUUAAGACAGUUAUUAAAAAUUUUUAAACUUUAACCACAGAGUGAAUGUAUUGUUAACUGCAGAAAAACGAAGUCCAUUUAUAGGAUGCGGAUCAACAGGAAUUUUUUAUUACAAAAUUUACUUCAGAAUAGCUAUCUUAUGAUCACGAACAAUUUUCUGUCCAAGAUUGAUAGAUAUCCAGGAUAAUUUAAGAAAGUAAUUAAAAUUUUGAAAACUUUUAACCACACACAAAGCGAAUAUUUGUGGCCGCCGCCGCCGACGACAACACCAACGACAGAAUGUAGGAUCGCUAUGUGUGCAAUCUGUGGGAACUAUAAGAUUGUUUGACAGUUUUUUUAUCUGAACUUUAUUUGUGAAUAUUUAGGUGUUAUUUCUUAAUAGGUAUGAACAUGCAUGGUGGCUUGAAUUGGUUUAUAUCAUUUGAUAUAUAAUUUUAGUUUUGAAUUAUUAUUUUAUUUUCGUCUAUGCUAUGACAUUUUACUAGUAUUAGAUCUAAUAUUGUUUGAUUGAUGUUCAUCAUAGCAAAUCGACAAAAAUGGUUGAAUUUACAUCUGGAAAAUUAC
rnacentral:lncRNA from 1 species